CCUACGGGGGGCUGCAGUGGGGAAUAUUGGACAAUGGGCGGAAGCCUGAUCCAGCCAUGCCGCGUGUGUGAAGAAGGCCUUCGGGUUGUAAAGCACUUUCAGUGGGGAAGAAAGCCUUGGGGCUAAUACCCUCGAGGAAGGACAUCACCCACAGAAGAAGCACCGGCUAACUCCGUGCCAGCAGCCGCGGUAAUACGGAGGGUGCGAGCGUUAAUCGGAAUUACUGGGCGUAAAGCGCGCGUAGGCGGUCUGAUAAGCCGGUUGUGAAAGCCCCGGGCUCAACCUGGGAACGGCAUCCGGAACUGUCAGGCUAGAGUGCAGGAGAGGAAGGUAGAAUUCCCGGUGUAGCGGUGAAAUGCGUAGAGAUCGGGAGGAAUACCAGUGGCGAAGGCGGCCUUCUGGACUGACACUGACGCUGAGGUGCGAAAGCGUGGGUAGCAAACAGGAUUAGAUACCCGAGUAGUC
rnacentral:rRNA from 1 species